UACGUAGGGGCCGAGCGUUGUCCGGAGUUACUGGGCGUAAAGCGCGCGCAGGCGGCUCGUCAAGCCUGACGUGAAAGCCCCCGGCUCAACCGGGGAGGGUCGUCGGGGACUGGCGAGCUUGAGGUCGGCAGGGGCUGGUGGAAUUCCCGGUGUAGUGGUGAAAUGCGUAGAGAUCGGGAGGAACACCCGUGGCGAAGGCGGCCAGCUGGGCCGUACCUGACGCUGAGGCGCGAAAGCCAGGGGAGCAAACGGG
rnacentral:rRNA from 1 species